ACACAAUGAAUGUAAGGUUAAAAACGAUUAGAGAUACAACCGUUAUUAAUUUAGGUUCUAUUGGACUUUUUUGAGGAUAAGCUCGAAAAUUGUUGUUGAGAGUUAUAUAGUUAAAAGCUAUUGUGUGGGCCUAAAAUUAGCUAUCACGAGAGUUUGUUAUAAAACAGUAGAAACAUGUAAAAAUAUUACUAUAUGUACAUACCACACGAAACUAUAAGAAUAACAAUCUAAAUUAGAAGGUUGAUAUACCUAUGCUAGGAUGAGUAUUAAAAUUAUUUAAACUGAAAAGUAAAGACAUUUUCCUUUAAAGGUAUUUUUAAUAUAAAUUAAAGAGAAGGAAUUCGGCAAACGUUGUUUCGCCUGUUUAUCAAAAACAUGGCUCUUUGAAAAGAGUGUAUAAAGAGUCGAACCUGCCCAGUGAGUAAUUUUAACGGCCGCGGUACCCUGACCGUGCAAAGGUAGCAUAAUCAUUUGCCUUAUAAUUGAAGGCUGGCAUGAAUGGUCUGACGAGAGCAACACUGUCUCCUCUUUAUUAUCUAGAAAUUAACUUAUGGGUGAAGAGGCCUAUAUUAUAUUGAAGGACAAGAAGACCCUGUCGAGCUUAAAAGAACGAUAGAAGUUGGCUAUCAAAAGAAAUCAAUAAACUAUACAGCUUUUUAGUUGGGGCGACUAAGGAACAAAUAAAGCUUCUUCUGUUUCUAUAAAUUUAUAGAUCUAGAUCCAGCAAAGCUGAUCAAAGGAAUUAGUUACCGCAGGGAUAACAGCAUAAUCUCCUUUGAGAGACCUAAUCGAAAGGGGGGGUUGUGACCUCGAUGUUGGACUAGAAUAUCCUGAAGAUGCAGACGUCU
rnacentral:rRNA from 1 species